rnacentral:rRNA from 1 species
GACGAACGCUGGCGGCGUGCUUAACACAUGCAAGUCGAACGGUAAGGCCCUUCGGGGUACACGAGUGGCGAACGGGUGAGUAACACGUGGGUGAUCUGCCCUGCACUUCGGGAUAAGCCUGGGAAACUGGGUCUAAUACCGGAUAGGACCACUGCCUGCAUGGGUGGGGGUGGAAAGCUUUUGCGGUGUGGGAUGGGCCCGCGGCCUAUCAUCUUGUUGGUGGGGUGAUGGCCUACCAAGGCGACGACGGGUAGCCGGCCUGAGAGGGUGGCCGGCCACACCGGGAGUGAGGUACGGACGAGACUCCUGCGGGAGGAAGCGGUGGGGAAUAUUGCACAAUGGGCGCAAGCUUGAUGCAGCGACGCCGCGAGAGGGAUGGCGGCCUUCGAGUUGUAAACCUCUGGCAGCACCGACGAAGCGCAAGUGACGGUAGGUGCAGAAGAAGGACCGGCCAACUACGUGCCAGCCGCUGCGGUAA